CAACCCUCAGGCCCCCGGGCCUGGCGUUGGGGAUCGGCGGAGCCCCCCGUGGGCACACGCCGUCCCCUAAAUACAGUGGCGGUCCCGCCGCAGCUUCCAUUGCGUAGUAGCUAACACCCCGCAACUGGAGAGCGGCGCGGCCACGCCGUAAAACACCCAACUUCUGAA
rnacentral:misc_RNA from 1 species